rnacentral:rRNA from 1 species
GACGAACGCUGGCGGCGUGCUUAACACAUGCAAGUCGAACGGAAAGGCCCUGCUUUUGUGGGGUGCUCGAGUGGCGAACGGGUGAGUAACACGUGAGUAACCUGCCCUUGACUUUGGGAUAACUUCAGGAAACUGGGGCUAAUACCGGAUAGGAGCUCCUGCUGCAUGGUGGGGGUUGGAAAGUUUCGGCGGUUGGGGAUGGACUCGCGGCUUAUCAGCUUGUUGGUGGGGUAGUGGCUUACCAAGGCUUUGACGGGUAGCCGGCCCGAGAGGGUGACCGGGCACCUUGGGACUGAGAGACGGACCAGACUCCUACGGGAGGCAGCAGUGGGGAAUAUUGCACAAUGGGCGGAAGCCUGAUGCAGCAACGCCGCGUGCGGGAUGACGGCCUUCGGGUUGUAAACCGCUUUCGCCUGUGACGAAGCGUGAGUGACGGUAAUGGGUAAAGAAGCACCGGCUAACUACGUG